GAUGAAGAACGCAUCGAAAUGCGAUACGUAAUGUGAAUUGCAGAUUUCAGUGAAUCAUCGAAUCUUUGAACGCACAUUGCGCCCGCUAGUAUUCUGGCGGGCAUGCCUGUUCGAGCGUCAUUUCAACCAUCAAGCCCUAGGCUUGCGUUGGAGCCCUGCGGCUGCCGCAGGCUCCCAAAUCCAGUGGCGGGCUCGUCGUCGUACCGAGUGCAGUAAACAUCCUCGCUCAGGGAACGUGACGGGUUCUUGCCGUGAAACCCCCCACAUAUCAAGGUUGACCUCGGAUCAGGUAGGAAUACCCGCUGAACUUAAGCAUAUCAAUAAGCGGAGGA
rnacentral:misc_RNA from 1 species